GCACCAGUGGCGGAAUGGUAUACGCGCACGUUUGAGGGGCGUGUGGGGCGACCCGUGCAAGUUCAAGUCUUGUCUGGUGCACCA
rnacentral:tRNA from 1 species